rnacentral:tRNA from 2 species
GGUAGAAUGGCUGAGUGCUAAGCGGUGGAUUGUAGUCCCAUGUACAGAGGUUGAAUCCCUCUUUCUACCA